GUCCACGCCGUAAACGAUGGGCAUUAGGUGUGGGAGGUGUCGACUCCUCCCGUGCCGGCGCUAACGCAUUAAAUGCCCCGCCUGGGGAGUACGGCCGCAAGGCUAAAACUCAAAGGAAUUGACGGGGGCCCGCACAAGCAGCGGAGCAUGUGGUUUAAUUCGAUGCAACGCGAAGAACCUUACCUGGGCUUGACAUGUAAGUGACAGCCGUGGAAACACGGUCUCCCUUCGGGGCACUUUCACAGGUGGUGCAUGGCUGUCGU
rnacentral:rRNA from 1 species